rnacentral:misc_RNA from 1 species
CAGAUGUGUAUAAGAGACAGGUGAAUCAUCGAAUCUUUGAACGCACAUUGCGCCCCGUGGUAUUCCGCGGGGCAUGCCUGUUCGAGCGUCAUUUAAACCAAUCCAGCUUGCUGGGUCUUGGGCUUUCGCCUCUGGGCGGGCCUUAAAAUCAGUGGCGGUGCCAUCUGGCUCUAAGCGUAGUAAUUCUUCUCGCUAUGGAGUUCCAGGUGGAGGCUUGCCAACCAACCCCUAAUUUUCAAAGGUUGACCUCGGAUCAGGUAGGGAUACCCGCUGAACUUAAGCAUAUCAAUAAGCGGAGGA